rnacentral:tRNA from 1 species
GCGGCGCUGGUCUAACCUGGUUAGGACACCAGCCUUCCAAGCUGGGAACUCCGGGUUCAAAUCCCGGGCGCCGCA